UUUUUUUUUUUUUUUUUUUUUUUUUGAGACAGAUUCUUGUUCUGUCACCCACACUGGAGUGCAGUGGUGCAAUCUCAGCACACUGCAACCUCCAUCUCCCAAAUAAAAGCGAUUCUUGUGCCUCAGCCUCCUGAGUAGCUGGGAUUACAGGCAUGUGCCACCACACCUGACUAAUUUUUGUAUUUUUUGUAGAGAUGAGGUUUCACCACGUUGGCCAGGCUGGUUUCAAACUCCUGGCCUCAAGUGAUCCAUGCAUCUCAGCCUCCCAAAAUGCUGGGAUUACAGGCGUGAGCCUCGGUGCCCAGCCCUCCGUGUGCUCUUUCUCCUUCCGUAUUCACUAGGUGCCAAAAUGGGUAGGGAGUCUGAGAGUACCUGCACAAAGGGCAAGGGGCCCUCCUCCCACCGUCCCAGAAUAAGAGCUGCUGCAAGAGGCACUCACACCAGGCAUGUGGCACGCAGCUGGGCAGCCUGUAUGCCAGGCACACAACUCUAUGUCCACAUGGGAGAGUCUGUCCCCAACUUCCCCCUAUCCAAAGUCCCUGGGCACAGCUUGUUUCCUGACACAGCUGGUCCCUGGGCACGGCAGGCCUCGGGUCCCUGGAUAGAAUCUAUCCUUGGGCCUCAUCCAGCCCUCCGCAGGGCCAGUGCCUGGGUUCAGCUGUUUGCCAGGUACAGCUGUCCUUGAACGUAGUCGAUUGUUGGAAAAUGCUAGUCCCGGGACACAGUUGGUCCCUGGAAACAGUGUUCAAGCAAAGUUGGUCCUGUGUACAGUCUGUCUCCUGGCACACAGACACUCUCUGGGCAUAAUCCAUCCUUGGGCACAGGUAGAGUCUGGGUCCAGUUGGUUCUCAGGUAUAGUGACAGUGGGCAAAGUCAGUCCUAGGUGCAGAUGAGCCCCAGACACAGUGAGUGUCUGAGAACAGGUUCCUGGGCAUAGUCAUUCCAUGGACACAGUUAGUGACUGGAUAUAGCUGAUUCCUGGGCAUCGUCGGACCCCCAGGGCACAGUCAGCAGUCAGUCCCUGGGCACAGUUGUUUCCGGGCUCAGCUGGUCCCCAAGGCGGUCAGUCCCUGGGGAAGAGUCCAUCCUUGACCUCAGGGCACAGUCCACCAAGACUACCCCCGGUUGAUUAACACGCAUAGGCCCAUCGCCCACUCCCUUGUGGCCCCAGUCCCUCCACAGGACCUGGAGAGCUGGGCUCCACAGAGGGGAUGAGAUGCAUCCUCUGAAGUGCCGGGAGCCCUGGCAUGGCCUGCUUUACGGCAGGUAGAGGGGGCAGGCAUUCUGCUCCAGAACUGGAAGGGAGAGAACUAGGCCUGGCCCCCACCCGGUGUCCUCUGGAGCCGUCUGCCUUCCACAGCGGGGGGAGCUGUAAACCACGCUAGAAAGGAGCCUCUCUCUCUGCACUACCCUCUGUCUAUGCAGCACGUAUCCACAGGCAUUUCAAAGGAGCAUAGGCUGGCCAGCUGCUGAUCUCCCUGUGGCGGUGGGUAAGGGCAUUAGACAGGUUUCUUCCAACUGGGUGGCCAUCCCCAGUCCUCUAACCAACAUCCUCAUAACCUUAGGCAUGGCACGAACGAGAAAGGAGGAGGUAGCCAGUCCCAGGGGAUUUUCAGCCUCCAGGAGACAGCUGGUGCUGGAUUUCUAAUGCUUCCUGAGUCUGAUCAGUCCCACAGCUCCCUGCAACCCAGUCCAGCUGGGAAUGGAGCAGCAAGCCCCAGGGUGGGAGUCCAGUCUGCACAGCAGGGCAGGGGGCGUUCCUCAGGCCUGUUUGGCACUCAUUACCUCCAGCCCUUGUUAUCCUCUGCAGGGGGCAUGGUUUCUGCAGGAUGAUAAUGUGAUGUGGCAUCCCAUUAGCCAGCACCUGCCCUUUCUGCCCACCUUCCUCUCCCAGCCCCCAUGCACAUCAAUGCUUCGUUACGUUGUCAGUGUAGUAGUACAAGUCACAUCUUUGUCGGGGUCUAGAAAUGAAGUGAGCAACACCAACCAGUCACCCAACACAGGGGGCACCACCCACACAUCAGCCCUGACAUCCCA
ensembl:lncRNA